rnacentral:rRNA from 1 species
UACGUAGGGGGCAAGCGUUGUCCGGAUUUAUUGGGCGUAAAGAGCGUGUAGGCGGCCAGGUAGGUCAGCUGUGAAAAACUCGAGGCUCAACCUCGAGACGCCGGUUGAAACCAUCUGGCUAGAGUCCGGAAGAGGAGAGUGGAAUUCCUGGUGUAGCGGUGAAAUGCGCAGAUAUCAGGAAGAACACCCGUGGCUAAGGCGGCUCUCUAGUACGGUACUGACGCUGAGACGCGAAAGCGUGGGGAGCGAACAGG